GACGAACGCUGGCGGCGUGCUUGACACAUGCAAGUCGAACGAUGAAGCUGGAGCUUGCUCCGGUGGAUUAGUGGCGAACGGGUGAGUAACACGUGAGCAAUCUGCCCUUGACUCUGGGAUAACUGCGGGAAACUGUAGCUAAUACCGGAUACUUUCACUGGAAGGCAUCCUCUGGUGAAGAAAGAAUUUCGGUCAAGGAUGAGCUCGCGGCCUAUCAGCUUGUUGGUGAGGUAACGGCUCACCAAGGCGACGACGGGUAGCCGGCCUGAGAGGGUGACCGGCCACACUGGGACUGAGACACGGCCCAGACUCCUACGGGAGGCAGCAGUGGGGAAUAUUGCACAAUGGGCGCAAGCCUGAUGCAGCAACGCCGCGUGAGGGAUGAAGGCCUUCGGGUUGUAAACCUCUUUUAGCAGGGAAGAAGCGAAAGUGACGGUACCUGCAGAAAAAGCACCGGCUAACUACGUGCCAGCCGCCGCAGUAA
rnacentral:rRNA from 1 species